GCUUUUCACAUUCUGCCUUUUGAGUUCUCCAUCACGACCGUUUCUACUUCAUCGCCUUUCUUUGUCGCUGACGAUCUUCUCCGUCCCCACUUUCCAAUCGGUGAGAACCCAUUAUUUUCUCUCGAUUGGGUCUCUGAUUCUCACCUAAGUUUGUGAUCGACACAGGUUGUCGUCUUCUACCCUCUUAAUUUCUCCCAAUUGGUUGAUUCUUAGGUAUCUCACCUUAAAGCUGCCAAAAUUUUAUAUAUUCGGUGUUAGUUAUUGUUUAGAUUCUUUUCCAUUUUUUUGGCUGAUAUUUUUAUAAAAUUUGUUAUGAAUUAACCUCAUCAAUUUGUCUGAAAGUAAAAUUUGGUGCGGUUAGUCUCUUUUUCUAAUACGUGGUAAGUCCGGAUUAUUAUAAUGGAUAGCAUUCUUAAUUGAUUGAUCUGUGCUUCUUUGUAUUUGAAUUUUCAGGAGGUUACAUCGCAUACUGAGAUUUAGAGGGUGGAGCUUUUAUCACAGCAAUCUAACCUGCAUGUUUAAUAAAUGGGACCUGGCUGUAUUUCUCAAGUCUCAGCAUUAGGGGGUUUGAUUCAUUGUUGUUGGAUCGGGCGCAGUCAACUAUAGUUUUGGCCUGCAAGGUUGUUUUCUCUUUAGUGUGGUAACAUUUUCAGCCUUCCAUUAAAGUUAUAAUGCAUGAUUAUUUCUUUUCAUUUCUAUUUUAAGAAUGGAUCUGUAUCAAGAGGAAAAUGAGAGGAAAUUGCUUAAUCAAAAGCCAAAAGAGUAAAAGGAAUAGGUAGGUACUUCAGAUGCACUUAAAAUUUGUUCAUUUGUUGAAUUCUCUAAAUUGUAGCAAUUAAGGUCUAUGUGCUUUGAUUAUGCAGUUUCAAUUUUCUUAUGAUUGAAUAACGGAAGCUGAAGAUCAGGAGAUGGAAUUGAAUUUACAAAUGUGAGUAUAGGGGGCUGCAUUUGCAUGUGGCUCAGUUCUUGAUGCAGGGCAGGGAUAUGAUAACCUGUAGGGAUAUUUGGUUCAGAUCAAGUUCCACCAGUUGGUGUAAGCCUGGGAAACGAGAGAGUAUUUGCCAUAAUGGAGCAGCAUUGGAAGGACCAAAACCAGGUGAAAUUUGCGGAGAAGUCAGAGAACAAAUAAACACCAGAGUGGCAGAGUAGAGAGAAGAAGGAAAAGCUGAGAUGGUGCCAAGUGUCCUUUUCAUUGAUGAGGUUCGCAUGCUUGACAUAGAAUGUUUUUCUUUCCUCAAUGGAGCUCUACAGAAUGAGAUGGGUCUAUUAGUUGUUGCCACCUACAGAGGCAUCACAGAUGAAGGAGCAUUGAAAGUGGGGUAUGAAGUGAAUGUAUGUUUGCUUAAAGAAAUUUUUGUAAUUCUUAGAAACCAUAUUUUGAGAUAUUUUUAUACAUCGUGCAUGAUAUUAGUAAGACAGUUUUCAGCCAUCCUUUGGCUCUUCAACAGCUUCAAGAGACAACGAACAUAUUAUAUACACCAAUUUUUUUGUCA